rnacentral:lncRNA from 1 species
CCAGCAGUCAAGCAGCUGCACAUUCAACACUGGAAAUUGAGGACACCUUUCCUGAAAAAGCCCACAGAAUAAUCAUCAUUUUCCAAGGAGAAGAGCUGGGGCAGAGUACUGCUACAACAUCUCUGACAUGUGAAGCUGCUGGGAGCUAAUUCUCCCUACUAAACGACCUUACAUGGUUCAGUAACAAUCCACUGCAGGAAUCACUGACAUGGAUGAUUGUUCUUUGACUUUUAACCUCCAGACUCUUCACAAUCUCAAAGGAAAACAGCUCUCAGGCCACAGGACUACAUCUAUAAAUCUUCAAAAUCCUGUAUCCAGGGCUGUUUCAUCUGUUGUAAACCUGGAGCUUUGCACAGAAGGCCAGAGGACAAGUACUGGAUUCCACGUCAGUCAUCGAGAUAUAAGAAGUGAUUUUUGUAUUGGGAUGAAAAUUGAAGAUAUUUUUUGAUGUUGCCAGGCCUUUCUUUUGAGCUUGUCUUUCUUCCCCUUUUUAAAAAUGGAAUCAUGUUGGAAUGAGUAACUUCAAAAGUAAAUUUACAUGUCUUCAUAGGAGAAUGCUUUUAGAACACAGCUUCUCUUAUCACAAGAGUUUUGAGGUUUUUUUCAGUGGAAGUACCAUCUUGGGCCUUAAGAUGCCUUGGGCAUCAAAACUGAUAUUAAGUUUCUGGUAUAUUUGAGGUUUCCAUCAGACAUGGAAAGUGUGACAAAAGACAGUCAAAUCAGUAUCAAAUCCUUCUGAGUGAAGUUUUAGUAAAACUUGAAGAGCCAUUAAAUUAC